rnacentral:rRNA from 1 species
AGAGUGAACGCUGGCGGUAGGCCUAACACAUGCAAGUCGAACGGCAGCACAGUAGGAGCUUGCUCUUACGGGUGGCGAGUGGCGGACGGGUGAGGAAUACAUCGGAAUCUACCUUUUUGGUGGGGGAUAACGUAGGGAAACUUACGCUAAUACCGCAUACGCCCUUCGGGGGAAAGCCGGGGACCAGCAAUGGCCUGGCGCUGAUAGAUGAGCCGAUGUCGGAUUAGCUAGUUGGUGAGGUAAUGGCUCACCAAGGCGACGAUCCGUAGCUGGUCUGAGAGGAUGAUCAGCCACACUGGAACUGAGACACGGUCCAGACUCCUACGGGAGCAGCAGUGGGAAUAUGGACAAUGGGCGCAAGCCUGAUCCAGCCAUACCGCGUGGUGAAGAAGGCCUUACGGUUGUAAAGUCCCGUUUUAGGUACGGUAAAGAAAAGACGAAAGUUCGGUUAAAUACCCGGUUAGUUCUUGACGUACCAAAGAA